rnacentral:rRNA from 1 species
GACGAACGCUGGCGGCGUGCUUAACACAUGCAAGUCGAACGGAAAGGCCCUGCUUUCGUGGGGUUCCCGAGUGGCGAACGGGUGAGUAACACGUGAGUAACGUGCCCUUCACUUUGGGAUAACUUCAGGAAACUGGGGUUACUACCGGAUAGGAUCUCCUGCUGCAUGGAGGGGGUUGGAAAGUCUCGGCUGUUGGGGAUGGACUCGCGGCUUACCAGCUUGCUGGUGGGGUAGUGGCUUACCAAGUCUUGGACUGGUAGCCGGCAUGUGAGGGUGGACGGCCACAAUAGGACUAAGAUAGGGACCAGAGUCCUACGGGAGACAGCGGUGGGAAGUAUGACACAGUGGGCGGAAGUCUGAUGCAGCGGCGCCCCGUGCGGAAAGACGGCCUUCUGGUUAUAAACCGCUUUCGCCUGAGACGACGCGUUAGUGACGGUAAUGAAUAAAGAAGCACCGGCUAACUACGUG